UAGCAUUUCUUUGGCAUAGCUCAUUUCAUAAGAAUUGUAGAAACAAGCGAUGUCAAGGAAAAUACC
rnacentral:pre_miRNA from 1 species